AGAGUUUGAUCAUGGCUCAGGAUGAACGCUAGCGACAGGCUUAACACAUGCAAGUCGAGGGGCAGCGGGGGAGUAGCAAUGCUCCCGCCGGCGACCGGCGCACGGGUGAGUAACACGUAUGGAACCUGCCCGCAGCAGGGGGAUAAGCGGAAGAAAUUCCGUCUAAUACCGCGUAACACCGCGGAGGGGCAUCCCUCGGCGGUUAAAGAUUCAUCGGCUGCGGAUGGCCAUGCGGCGCAUUAGCUAGUCGGCGGGGUAACGGCCCACCGAGGCGACGAUGCGUAGGGGUUCUGAGAGGAAGGUCCCCCACACUGGUACUGAGACACGGACCAGACUCCUACGGGAGGCAGCAGUGAGGAAUAUUGGUCAAUGGCCGGGAGGCUGAACCAGCCAAGUCGCGUGAGGGAAGACGGCCCUACGGGUUGUAAACCUCUUUUGUCAGGGAGCGAGGUGCAGGUCGGGACCUGCUGUGAGAGUACCUGAAGAAAAAGCAUCGGCUAACUCCGUGCCAGCAGCCGCGGUAAUACGGAGGAUGCGAGCGUUAUCCGGAUUUAUUGGGUUUNAAANGGGUGCGCAGGCGGAGGCACAAGUCAGCGGUAAAAUCGCGGGGCUCAACCCCCGCUCCGCCGUUGAAACUGUGUCCCUUGAGUGCGCGAAGGGUAGGCGGAAUGCGUGGUGUAGCGGUGAAAUGCAUAGAUAUCACGCAGAACUCCGAUCGCGAAGGCAGCCUACCGGCGCGCAACUGACGCUCAUGCACGAAAGCGUGGGUAUCGAACAGGAUUAGAUACCCUGGUAGUCCACGCAGUAAACGAUGAAUGCUAUCUGUCCGGCCGGAAUGACGGCUGGGUGGCACAGCGAAAGCGUUAAGCAUUCCACCUGGGGAGUACGCCGGCAACGGUGAAANCUCAAAGGAAUUGACNGGGGGCCCGCGCAAGCGGAGGAACAUGUGGUUUAAUUCGAUGAUACGCGAGGAACCUUACCCGGGCUCAAACGACGCAGGGAUGGAUGUGAAAGCAUACAGUCCUUUUAGGACCUGCGUCGAGGUGCUGCAUGGUUGUCGUCAGCUCGUGCCGUGAGGUGUCGGCUUAAGUGCCAUAACGAGCGCAACCCCCAUCUUCAGUUGCCAUCAGGUAGAGCUGGGCACUCUGGAGAGACUGCCGGCGCAAGCUGCGAGGAAGGCGGGGAUGACGUCAAAUCAGCACGGCCCUUACGUCCGGGGCGACACACGUGUUACAAUGGCAGGUACAGCGGGAAGCCAGGCGGCGACGCCGAGCGGAACCCGAAAACCUGUCUCAGUUCGGAUCGGAGUCUGCAACCCGACUCCGUGAAGCUGGAUUCGCUAGUAAUCGCGCAUCAGCCAUGGCGCGGUGAAUACGUUCCCGGGCCUUGUACACACCGCCCGUCAAGCCAUGGAAGCCGGGGGUGCCUGAAGUGUGCAGCCGCAAGGAGCNNCCUAAGGUAAAANCCGGUGACUGGGGCUAAGUCGUAAACAAGGUAACCG
rnacentral:rRNA from 1 species